rnacentral:rRNA from 1 species
UACGGGGGGGGCAAGCGUUGUUCGGAAUUACUGGGCGUAAAGGGCGCGUAGGCGGCCUGCUAAGUCGGAUGUGAAAUCCCUCGGCUCAACCGAGGAACUGCAUCCGAUACUGGCGGGCUUGAAUCCGGGAGAGGGAUGUGGAAUUCCAGGUGUAGCGGUGAAAUGCGUAGAGAUCCGGAGGAACACCAGUGGCGCAGGGCGGCUCGUCUGGGUCGGCCCUGACGCUGAGGCGCGAAAGCGUGGGGAGCGAACGGGA